UACGUAGGGUGCAAGCGUUAAUCGGAAUUACUGGGCGUAAAGCGUGCGCAGGCGGUUUUGUAAGUCUGUCGUGAAAUCCCCGGGCUCAACCUGGGAAUUGCGAUGGAGACUGCAAGGCUAGAAUCUGGCAGAGGGGGGUAGAAUUCCACGUGUAGCAGUGAAAUGCGUAGAGAUGUGGAGGAACACCGAUGGCGAAGGCAGCCCUCUGGGUCAAUAUUGACGCUGAUGCGCGAAAGCGUGGGGAGCGAACAGG
rnacentral:rRNA from 1 species